GACGAACGCUGGCGGUGUGCUUAACACAUGCAAGUCGAACGGUAAGGCCCUUUCGGGGGUACACGAGUGGCGAACGGGUGAGUAACACGUGAGUAACCUGCCCUCAUCUCUGGGAUAACAGUCGGAAACGGUUGCUAAUACUGGAUAUGAGCUUGCAAGGCAUCUUGUGGGUUGGAAAGAUUUUUUUGGUUGGGGAUGGACUCGCGGCCUAUCAGCUUGUUGGUGAGGUAGUGGCUCACCAAGGCUUCGACGGGUAGCCGGCCUGAGAGGGCGACCGGCCACAUUGGGACUGAGGUACGGCCCAAACUCCUACGGGAGGCAGCAGUGGGGAAUAUUGCACAAUGGACGGAAGUCUGAUGCAGCAACGCCGCGUGCGGGAUGACGGCCUUCGGGUUGUAAACCGCUUUCAAUUGUGACGAAGCUUUUUGUGACGGUAGCAGUAGAAGAAGCACCGGCUAACUACGUG
rnacentral:rRNA from 1 species